AUCUGAUCCCACAGCCUGGUCCCAGAUCUGAUCUCUCUAGCCUGAUCUCAGAUCAGAUCUCACUAGCCUGGACUCAGAUCUGAUCUAACCUAGCCUGGUCCCAGAUCUGAUCUCACCUAGUCCCAGAACUGAUCUCACCUAGCCUGGUCCCAGAUCUAAUCUCACCAAUCUGGUCCCAGAUCUGAUCUCACUAGCCUGGUCCCAGACCUGAUCUUACUAGCCUGGUCCUAGAUCUGAUCCCACACCCUGGUCCCAGAUCUGAUCUCACUAACCCUUGUCCCAGAUCUGAUCUCAGAUCUGAUCUCACCCAGCCUGGUCACAGAUCUGAUCUCUCUAGUCUGGUCUCAGAUCUGAUCUCUCUAGUCUGGUCUCAGAUCUGAUCUCACUAGCCUGGUCCUAGAUCUGAUCUCACUGACCUGGUCCCAGAUCUGAUCUCACUAGCCUGGUGCCAGAGCUGAUCUGACUAGCCUGGUCCCAGAUCUGAUCACACUAGCCUGGUGCCAGUUCUGAUCUCUACAGCUCUCUCUCUAUAAUUCAUCCAGGCUACAUUAUAAUCCACCCAGGCUACAUUAUAAUUCACCCAGGCUACAUUAUAAUCCCCCCAGACUACAUUAUAAUCCCCCAGGAUACAUUAUAAUCCCCCAGGCUACAUUAUAAUCCACCCAGGCUACAUUAUAAUCCCCCAGGCUACAUUACAAUCCACCCAGGCUACAUUAUAAUCCCCCAGGCUACAUUAUAAUUCACCCAGGCUACAUUAUAAUCCCCC
ensembl:lncRNA